rfam:Mustela putorius furo unplaced genomic scaffold scaffold00153, whole genome shotgun sequence.
CUCUUUGGACUUUUCCUCUAGGUUCGGUGCUAACUUCUGUGAACUCAUUCUGGCCCUUCUCUUCUUAACUUUCUCGAGGUUAUCCAUUCGUUUAAAAUAUGGCUUCUGGU